rnacentral:rRNA from 1 species
UGACCCGUCCUUGAAACACGGACCAAGGAGUCUAACAUGUGUGCGAGUCAUUGGGCGCACUAAACCCAGAGGCGUAAUGAAAGUGAAAGGGGGGCGUCCCGGGGCUUCCUUCACGGGGGCCCCGGUCGGCGCCCUCCGGGGCCGAUCCUCGACAGACCGUCGCCGCCGGUGUCUCUUCCCACACCAAAGCGGGGCCAAUACGGGAGCGCGCGCGGGGUGAGACCCUUUCCCCCGUCGUCCGACUCCCGGCCCCGUGGGUACCCGGCGAGCGCGGCAGUCCGGCGGUCCCUCCCCUCUCGGGGGGAGGAGGCCUCCGCCUGUACGCAGGGGGGCGCAGGCCCGGGACUUGCCAUUAGACGCCGUCGCGCAAAUCUGUUGUUGGCCUCGCCGGCUCUGCUUGGGCUCUCGGUUGGCGGGCCGCGCGUCAGGCGGGCUUUAGGGCGGGGGCAUCCCCGUCCGGGUCCGUCCCGCGCGGUUUUGCCUUCCGAUCCUGCUCUGUCCGGAGUGGCCUAGCGCGCGUGCUGUCGGCAAGUACCAUGAGCAGACAUGUUGGGACCCGAAAGAUGGUGAACUAUGCCUGGCCAGGAUGAAGCCAGAGGAAACUCUGGUGGAGGUCCGCAGCAAUUCUGACGUGCAAAUCGAUUGUCAGAGCUGGGUAUAGGGGCGAAAGACUAAUCGAACCAUCUAGUAGCUGGUUCCUUCCGAA